CUCUGCCCUUAACCUAACAAACAGCAGCAAGCACCAACAAUUCCAAAUCGCAACAACAUUCUUUGAUAACCCAUAAUAAUUUCAACCCGAACAGAACCAGCUCCAAAUACUCCAAUCUCAACCACCCAAAGACCCGACCCUAUAUCCGAUUUACACCACAAACAACCAACAUCGACCAACGCAGUACCUGAAUCCAACCUAUUAUCUUUUUCCUCUUUAUGAUCACGUGCGUUCCACGCGAAUCCAUACGAGAAGAUGCCGAGAAUCUUCUAGAAACACACUUAGGUGUCUCAUACAAUGUUCAAAUCCCAAAAUUCUUGGAUAGAAGUGUACGAAUUCAUACAUAGGUGGAGUAUUUUCAUUGGAUUUUGGAAGAUUAUUCUUCUCCCCCAUUUUCUAUUGGUUGAUUCUUCUAUUUACAAUGGAUUUUGGUGGUUUUUGUUGGGGGGAAAUCCUUUUCCUGAGCGGGAAUCCAAGGGAAAGCUUUUUCCAAUUUUGCUAAAACCUCUCAAAACUACCCCCAUUCAUAUUUUGUUCCACGCCAGCUGAAGCCCUAAAAACCCCUAGCCUCUUCUCUAUGUAAAGGCUAGUUUUGCAAGCAAAAGGGGGAUUUUUUCUCCACUAGCAUCUCCUUUCCUUUCUGGGUUCAAAAGCUUAGAGAGAUUUUGGGUCCGAAAGGAGAGGGUUUUGGAAAAACUGAGGGAGAGAAAAUUUGGGAUAGAGAAAAAAAAAGGGCACUCAAGAAAACACUCUUCACACAAAAAUAUACAUAUUCUGAAACAGUGUGUCUGAAUUGUCGAAGCAGCUGUGAGGUUUUCUGGUGUUCGGAAUCCUUUUGUCCACUCGUUGUCCUAUUUUGCUGCUCCAAAAUAGUCUCAGGUGGAUGGUGACCCGCUGUAGCUGAUGUUUUGUUAAAGUUUUUGUUUGGUUAGUUUCGAACUGAUGGUAUCUAGUUAUGGCCGAUUUCAUGGCUCUAAGUCUCAUGAUUCUAAUUUCAGAUUGAUGGUGUCUUGUUCGUUGUUCGUAUUUGACGUCGUCUUGUUCGUCUUCAUUAGUCCGGUGUUUGUAGUAUAUUGUCUUCCAUCUUAGUUCAAGCUUCUCUUGGAUUCCUUCCAUAUGAGUUACGUGGUUUUCGAAGUUUUGAAUCAGAUGUUAGAAACUGUUGGUUCAUUUUCUUGGUAAACUUUAAUGUCCAAGCAGAUCAGUUUUAUCUUUGUGAGAACUAUAAGGCAUCUGUUUCUUGUUUGUUUUGUUUUUCUUUUCCAUUUUUUUUAAGUUAUUGAGUAUUGAGAUAUACGUGCAAUUUGUAUGAUAAGAAAAAAUGUGCAUUUCAUUCAAGGCCGAAUCCUUAUUUCUAGAUGAAUUUGUUUAAUUUUUCAUUCUAUGAUUGGGAGUAAUAUGUUUCCUUUAAGAACGUCUAGCGUUCUCUCCCGUUUAUUUUUUCAUGAUUAGGUUAUCAUUAGUGAUUUUCGUGCGCAUUGAAGUUUUCUUUUACUUGGGUUGAUUUUGCGUAUAAAUAUUGCCCUACCUAUCUAGGAUCCCUAUCCUUUAAACCUUUGAAAUUUUAAAGUAACUACACUGAGCACAAGUCCAAUAGAGUUCUUAAGUCAUUUUGUCUUUCUUUGAGGUCGGUAAACUUGCUCGUCCUUUUAAAUGUCCGGUUUUGACUAUUUUCUUUUAAGUUCAAUUUCUAACCGGUUAUACUCCUUUUAACUUAAUGAAUCAAAGUUUUUCCUAAAAUUGAUUUGAUAUUAUAUUUUUGUAGUGUUGCUAUUUGGAUAGUGAUAACUUAGUUUACUUUUGAUUAAUCACAGAUAGAACAAAGUUUAUCUUAUCUUGUUUGAUUUGUAUAAAGCCGGUGAUCUGAAUAUCUAUAGGACCCUAAUCUUUUUCCUUCUUCCUUUUGCAUUUCAAAUGUUUUGGAUUCCAUUAUGGACUCCCUCCCAUUGCAUUUACGAAUGGACCAAUGAGGUCUACCUCCUCAAAGUUUAUAUCCGAAAUCAAUCAGAUGGUGUGAGAUGCAUUGAUGCAAGAAGAUGGAAGAAGAAAAAUGGGUUAAAGUGUCCCAUCUUCGAAGUAGCUAAGAGACUUAAAAGUCUCACUUUUUAUCUCAUUUUAUUUAUUUAUUGUCAUCUUUUAUUUAUUUAUUCAUUUAUUUAUUCCUUUAUUCAUUCAUACGGGCCACGAAGCCAAAGUUGUAUUUAAUACAGGUGUUACAGAUUUUGGGCCGACGGAUCUAAAAAAAGGAAAUAGUUUAGGAUAGGUACAAAUGGGCCAAAAUCCCAAUGAGGUUUGGGCCUAAUGGCCAAAAUCUUUUACUUUCUCCCCU